rnacentral:lncRNA from 1 species
CCGUAAUAGAGAAACUUCCGCUCGCUUGAACUUAAAUCCCACAUGCAUAGCCUAAAUAUUCACAAAAUGUACUAGAUAUUGAUAUGCUAGACAUAUAUGCACAAAACUUUUUAAACAUAGAUUUCUUUAAGGCAUAUAAGAGAUAAAAGGUGGGUUUAUUUAAGGGUAUUUUUUUAGACAUGAAUGUGAGAUUGUGAGGGCAUUUAGUGUGGAACUUUCACUCUAGCAAUCGAGGUUGUCUUUGUCAAGUAAAUCUCCUGCUACAUACUAAAAUAUGAUCAGUUGGAUGUUGUACCAGCUCAUCAUUGAUUAAGAUCUCACUUUAGCGCUCUUAUAAAAUGGACUAGAGGGAGUACUAAGAGCAAGAGUGAUUUAUUUUUAUAACUGAUUAAUUGAUGUGCUGAUCAUUCAACAGAUUAGUCUUCCUAGGGAUCAAAAGAUAUCAACACCCAAGUACUACUGAGCAUACACAUGUUCAGCCUGAUAAUGAACAAAGUGAUAGUGACAGAGACUUACAGUGUUACAGAGAUGGUUGUUCAUCAGGGCCCUGCUUUGACACGAGGAACUCAAGAGCGAGGGCGACAUGAAUUGCCCACAUUUAUGUAACUGGUGACUGGAUACUGCUUUGAAACUUUAACUGAGUGGCAUGUAUCACCAUUUAAGCUACCAAAAAAAUUUCAACAUGUAGAAGAACAAAAGUAAGUGGUUGUAGCUGAUAAGGGGCAACAAGCUAAAAUUAAGGAGAAAAUGUCUUGAGAUAACAGCAAGUGCUUUCAAUUGACAGAAAUUACGACCGCCUUUCAGUUUCUAGCAAACAUCAAAUGGUCAUAACAAAGUUUAACCAAGAUACAAAAAAAUAUACAUUAAUUAAAUACAGAAUCUCACCAAGUAUGGAAUACACAACCCCAAAAUCUUCCACCUAAAUUAUCAUCAGUCCAGGACUCCAGGGAAUUCUCAACAAUGGACUCAUCAUAGCAACACAAAUAUGGGUAUAAAAAUUGCUAGGACAGCUGUAUGAAGACAGAGUUAAGUGAGAGAGCAUACAAAGUGUUUCUGUUAUGUAUAUAAUGAUUUGCGGAAUGGUAGCGUAACUUUUAUGGUUCAAACCUGCAUUUCUCAGCAACUCAAACUUUGAUUUGCUAGCAACUGUGGUACCCUCUCCCUUGAUCCGGCCAGUUUCACCAGAUUAAUGGUCAGAAUAUACAAAUUUUAUAC